AGGCAGGCUCCGUGGCAGGGAGGCGGGGCUCUGGGAAGGGAAGGAGGCAGAGAUUGUGCAAGCCCCGUGGCAUUUAGGGCAGGACGUGGCUCGGAGAGGGUGUGACUUGCUGGGAGUUACGUGUGACUUUGAGGACAGACCUCGGCCGCUAAGGAAGCUCUUUAGGGUCCCUCCGAGCGCGGCUUCUCUGUUAUCAUCUCAGCUCAUGCAGAGGAUCGAACCCAAAUGUCCUCUUCCCGCGGAGUUACAGCGUUUCACUCCGCCCUAAGGCUCAGCCUCGUCACCUCCUCCCAGGGCUGCCAGGCUGACUGAAAUAGUCUGCUGUUGCUCCUCCUGACAUGCCGUGGCAGGAGCUCCACGUUCUCCAGACCCGGCUACUUUUCUGGGUAGCACGUUUCUGCAGCUGUGGAGACGGAGGGGUGAAGACUAGCCUGCCAGAAGUCACAGUCAGUGCUUGCCAGACCCUAACUUCGGCCAGGUUUGGUUUAAAGCUGGUCCCACCCUUCCAGUUCCUGCCCUGAAUCAACAGAAACCCUUGGUGUGGUUUGUGAAAUACCCUCUAUUCGCGGUCUGGUGCUGCUCUGUGGGGCUAUUCCUGGUUUUCGAGUAGCAGGCUGUGCUCUGUAACCUGCAAUUGAGAUUCCUCGGCUUGCUUCUAAUCUUAGAGCCUGCCUCCCUGAUAGAAAUGCUGCCAGCUCGAGCAACACGAUCAGGGGAAUGGAGCAGAGAUGCUUUGCAGAUGAGUCAGGUUCUGCUUUCCUGUCCAGGUCAAGAAGCACCUUGCGUUCAUCUUCACACUCUUCGGAAAGAAGCUGCUGGACUCCUUCGGACAAGUAGGUGGCGGGACUUUUCCCGGCCACCAUCAGCAAAAGGCGAAUUUGUUGGGGCAGGAGUGGGGCUGUAGACCCUCACCUUGCAGCCCUGCUCAGCGGGCAAGAGGGUUUCUCCUGAGUGGCGGCCUCCAAAAUCAGCCCUGGAAGCAUCAGCUCAGCCCUCGGAGUCUCGGGCUCCAGUGUGGCUCCACCACGAAGCCACUGGGAGCUGGCAGCGGCACUGUCCCUCUUCAGGACCCAUUUUCCCCUUUGUUGGUGCCUUCCUAGGGCCCAGGGACCGGGCCUUGGAUGGGGUCCUGCGCCAUGUGGGACCCGCUCAGCCCGCCUUGGGUGAGGACUGCAUAUGCACUGGACAGUUCUGAAGCCAGUGGAGCUGCAGCUCCAGCGCCAGCCCCUCCCGAUGCACCUCUCAGGCCUUGGGUUACUUGUCUCUGGGUUUCUCUCCCGAGUGCAGUGCGUGCUGGAAACGGAAACGAUUAAAAUCCCUUUGUUUAUGUGGC